GUGGAGGCAGCCCUGCAGGAGCUGCAGAGCAGCCGGUUGCACUCGGACGACGCCGGGAUCGGGGCUGCGGAAGCCUGGAAGGCCUACCUCAUGGCUAAGAAGGCCAAGCUGGACGAGACCCUGGUUGCAGCCCGCCAGUUCAGAGCACUGCUUCAGCAGCAGCUCCAGAAAGCCUUCGCGUCACAGGUUAGGGAUCAAAAGGCAGCACAAAACUGA
rnacentral:rRNA from 1 species